GAGUUUGAUCCUGGCUCAGGGCGAACGCUGGCGGCGCGCCUAACACAUGCAAGUCGAACGGAAUCAAGAGGAGCUUGCUUUUCUUGAUUUAGUGGCGAACGGGUGAGUAACGCGUGAGUAACCUGCCCUGGAGUGGGGGACAACAGUUGGAAACGACUGCUAAUACCGCAUAAGCCCACGGUCUCGCAUGGGACUGAGGGAAAAGGAUUUAUUCGCUUCAGGAUGGACUCGCGUCCAAUUAGCUAGUUGGUGAGGUAACGGCCCACCAAAGCGACGAUCGGUAGCCGGACUGAGAGGUUGAACGGCCACAUUGGGACUGAGACACGGCCCAGACUCCUACGGGAGGCAGCAGUGGGGGAUAUUGCACAAUGGGGGAAACCCUGAUGCAGCAACGCCGCGUGAGGGAAGAAGGUUUUCGGAUUGUAAACCUCUGUUCUUAGUGACGAUAAUGACGGUAGCUAAGGAGAAAGCUCCGGCUAACUACGUGCCAGCCGCCGCGGUAAUUC
rnacentral:rRNA from 1 species